UAAACGUAUAGUCCAAGCAUACCGGAAUCAUUGGUGUAAGGGUCGUAGGUGGAAAAUAAGUGGAUAUGAAGCCGAGUCACUCGAGUUGUAUUCAAACUGUAUUUCUAGAUAGGAGAGGUAAGCGGAUUUUAAGUGUAGGGGUGCAUCGUAGAUACUUAAAGAACACCAAAAGCGAAGCAGCUUACUGGAACUGAAUGACACUGAGGAACGAAAGCAUGGGUAGCGAAAAGGAUUAGAUACCUGUAGUCCAUGCCCUAAACGAUGAUAACUAAGUGUUGGGACUAGAUCUCAGUGCUGAAGCUAACGCAUUAAGUUAUCCACGUGAGGAGUACGGUCGCAAGGUUAAAACUCAAAGGAAUAGACGGGGACCCACACAAGCAGUGGAUCACGUGGUUUAAUUCGAUAAUAAACGGGGAACCUUACCCAGACUUGACAUCCUAAGAAUUUUUUAGAAAUAAGAAAGUGCCUUUAUUGGAACUUAGAGACAGGUGCUGCAUGGUUGUCGUCAGCUCGUGCCUUGAGGUGUUCGGUUAAGUCCGUUAACGAGCGCAACCCAUGUCUCUAGUUAUUAUGUCUAGAGAGACUGCCUUGGUUAACAAGGAGGAAGGCGUGGAUGACGUCAAAUCAGCAUGGCUCUUACGUCUGGGGCUACACACAUGAUACAAUGGUAUAUACAAAAAGCAGCAAUAUGGUGACAUUGAGCUAAUCUUUUAAAAUAUAUCUAAGUCCGGAUUGAAGUCUGAAACUCGACUUCAUGAAGUUGGAAUUGCUAGUAAUCGUGAAUCAGAUAUGUCACGGUGAAUAUGUUCCUGGGUCUUGUACUCACCGCCCGUCACGGCAUGGGAGGUAAUAAUAUUGGAAGCCCCCUUGGGAAUAUAGGGGUCCAUAGUAGGAUUACUGACUGGGCUGAAGUCGUAACAAGGUAACC
rnacentral:rRNA from 1 species